rnacentral:rRNA from 1 species
AAUUCGAUUCUACGGGAGGCAGCAGUAGGGAAUCUUCGGCAAUGGACGAAAGUCUGACCGAGCAACGCCGCGUGAGUGAAGAAGGUUUUCGGAUCGUAAAACUCUGUUGUUAGAGAAGAACAAGGACGUUAGUAACUGAACGUCCCCUGACGGUAUCUAACCAGAAAGCCACGGCUAACUACGUGCCAGCAGCCGCGGUAAU